rnacentral:tRNA from 1 species
ACUUAUAUAGCUUAUAUAAAGCGUUACAUUGAAGCUGUAAAGAAGGUUUGUUAAAGCCUUUAAGUG